rnacentral:lncRNA from 1 species
AUGCUCUGUGAGGUCCUGGCCACUCUGACCUCACAAUGUCCUGCGUCUAUAAGAGGCCCAGGGCUCGGCCCUGCCUCACAGCCCACGAAGUUCCACCUCCUCACAGGUUGGCUGGCUCAGCUGAGGUGGUGCCCCUGCUCUGAGCCAUGUGCGGGCCAAGUUCACCUCGAGCCAUGGCCAGAUACAGAUGCUGCUGCAGCCCAAGCCAGAGCAGAGGCUACCGUAGACGCAGCCACAGACCAAGGAGGCAAUGCCAUCCCAGACGGAGACAAAGGUGCAGCCGCCGUGGGUACACCCGGAGGGCCAGAAGACGCUAACUGCAGAAGAGCGAGGCCUCCGAACUCCUGCUGAAGACUUUGCCAGACCUCAAGACCGUCUUGCCACCUCUGACAAUGCCACCCUGCACUGAUACAGGAGCCUGCUAAGGAACAAUGCCGCCUGUCAAUAAAUGUCAAACUCAUCCCACUCAUGCCUUUGUCCUUGAUGGUUCGGUAGAGGGCUGGCCUGGAGGCGGAAGGGCUUGGCAAUGUGGCACAGUGGCACAGAAAGGAUGCUGGGAAGGGGGCCAUGAGAGUGACAGCUGUCACCGGGAUCCUGUCCAAAACUCAGUGACACGACAUGAGGAACAUCUGCUCCCAAACUGCCUACCUGUCUGACCCCUGGAGCUGGGUCAUCACCUUUGAGGGCCACUGUCCUUCCACCCUGUUCUGCGGCUGGCAGCUGGCAAUGAGCCACAGGGGAAGAUGCUCUAAGCAUCAGAGGGCCAUCAGGGCUUCCUUACCCCAAGGGUAUCUGGGGGUUCCCAGAGCUGGUUAAACAUCUGCCAGUCCCCAAAGUGUCACACAAGUUCAAUUCAAAGCUGAAAUCUCGACAGUUCCUUUGGUUAUACAGGGAACAAGACAGUCACCAUUAGAAUCAUGAAUUCAAGGUUUUCCUUCAUUCAGCAGCCCUCAUUUGUGUCCCCAUUGGAGAGCAGUGGUAACUUGGCCAGGCAGCAGGGGAGCUGCCCUGCCCAUUCAGUCCUCAAGUGCCUGCAGGAGGUUAAGCAUUGUGCCCAUGACACGAACUCACCCAUCAGAGCUGCCCGAACGAAUUCCCUUCCCACAGGAUGCUGCACACCAUGGAGGCAGAUGCAAGAAAUCCUACUAGGGCUCCGGGCUAACGGGCCCAGUCCUGGCCUAGGAAGGCCCACGCUCAGGCCCAACACAGACCCUGUGUCACAGUCACUUCCCGGCACUGGAGCAAGCCAGGGGUCUCAUCAGUGAUCCCCCAGCGCCACAGGACCAGUUCCUAAAAGGGAUCGGGCCCAGCAACACCUGAGAACUCUGGCUUCUGCUCACAGGGAGAGCACCAGGCCCUCGGUCCUCCCCAGCCCCUCGAGGCAGGUGUCAGCACGCUGUGUCCCCAGGUGAGCGCCGGCCUCCA